ensembl:lncRNA
CCCCCCCACCACCUCCCCCCUUCCUUCGAACAUGAUGGUCAGUCCCUUGCCAGGCAAUCUGGUCUGUGAUGUUCUUCACACCUCCAUCUAGCCAAAAAAAAGACGGGAAAAAAAAUACAAUCUUUGACAAGAUAUGAUGACUUGCCCAGGUGGUGUGUUCUACUGGUCUUGCAGGGGUGAGGGCAGCCAACCAAGGCAUGUGUGUGUGUAGGUGUGUGUGUGUGUGUGUGUGUGUGUCCGCCUACAGUAUAUGAUGGUGUGUUUACCUCGGGCCCUGUGCUGUGGUGCUGUGAUGCCGAGUGUCACCCUGCUUCGGACCGAGCCCUGCAGCCAGAGAAACCAGCUGGGAAACUGACAGGUUUGUCUUCUGCACUCACCUACACUCCAUUCCUUCCCCGCACACGCACACAUGCACGCACACACACACACACACACACACACACACUUCCGUGGCCCGAGGUUUAAAUACACACGUGCACACACAUGCGCAACUGCAACACACCCAGUGAGGCCCACGCACGGACACGCACACACACUUUCGUGACCUGAGGUUUAAGUACACGUGCACACACACACAGACACACACACGUAGCCUCCACCCCCCCCCCCCCCCUCUUCCCCCACAUCCACACAUAUCCAGAGAGCAUCACAGGAGCUGCGGGCAGUCUCUCUCAUGCCAGCUACACACACGGUGGGAAAAGGAAUAUGCUCACAGAGCUACAAUGAGGCGGCUACUCGUAACCUGAACACAUUUUUGCAGUUUGAUGAAAAAUGCAUUUGUACAUCGGAGUGAAAUAUGGAGCCGUUUGUCUCCAUUCCUCAACAUGCUAGCGCGCAAAGGCACUUUAAUCCUUAUUGUUUUAUUAAGUAGAGACACAACAGGUGAACAUUUUGAAUUAAUUGAUAUCGCCAUGAAGCUGACUGAGUGGUUAUUUACAUUAUUUAUUAUAUAAUUAUAUAUAUUUAUUGUCACGAGUUCACCGAAAUGUUGUGUUUUAGUGUGCAAAGGUCACCUUGUUUUAAUAUGUGGUCAUUUUUCAUACAUUUGCACAACAGAGCCAUUUUCAAAAUUAGGUUUUUAUAGAGGGACAUUUAUCACUAAAUAAAAUGUUAAAUAGUGUAAAAAAUCCCCUUUCGCCUUGAUUUAAAAAAUAAAAUAUUGUAUAGUAUAAGUGUAUGUAAAUCAGAAUAUAAACCCUUUCUGAACAAACUCUAGAAGUCUUCAGAGAGGAAUGAAGCUGUGAAGUUAAGUGAUGUCACAUGGCCGACGUGAUGAAGGCCCUACGGGUGAAGACGGUCAAGCGAUUAGAGUAGAUCCCGACAUUAAACGUCACCAGCUCAUCACUCCAUUAAGAGGAGCAUUUAUUGAAUUGAAGAGUAGAUAUAAAAUAUAAUACUACUAAAUGUGUUUCUUGGAUGUUUUGAAAGAAUAAAUUGAGCAGCACAUGUAGAAUGAUGUUUCUGUCUCAUCUUUAGCCGUACAUAAGAAAGUUGAGGUAUUAAAUGUCUUCCAAAGGCAUCAGUUAUUAUAAAUUACAGUCAGUGUCUUUUAUUCAGGAAAUGUCAAUGAAAUUAUGAUAAAAACAGAGGUGAGAAAAUACCGUUCAAUUGCUACUAAACUGAAACGCUUAAACACAAUAAAAAAAAAAAUGUCAAUAGAAAAAUAUGCAAAUAUGUAAAUUGAAAAAAAUAAAUAGAACAGUUUUUGUAUAUUUGUUUUAAAACAAAAGGUUGUUGAGGGAUACACAUACGUAGGGCUUUGCUUUUUAAUCAUUUAAUCAUAUUUUAUCUUAUUCAGGUGAAGUUCUGCCAGGACCUGCGUGACCCUGUGGGACUUUCUUCCAUGUGAACGCACGGAUUUUGCAAUGCACACAUGUAGGUAUCUUUACGUACGUACACACACACACACACACACACACGUGCACCUCGCGCCACGUCGGUCAUUGAGGACAUGCAACGUCGCCAAGAGUGCCUGAACCUGUGGUUCGUCCAGGAAAAAGCUGAUGAGUUCCCCCUCAGGAGAUGCCACCUUCCCCCGACACCUAACGCACACCUAGCGUGCACACAAACCCACUACACACACACACACGCACACAGGAGGCCUGUGUAGUGCAUAAGACACACAGUAGUGAAAGAUGCCAUGUGUGUCCAGGUGUCUGGCUGCGCUGUAGCACCCUUCAGAUGUCACAACGACAGAAAUCAGUGUUCUGACCAGAGAGUCUGCAGGCAGCACAAGUGUGUGUGUGUGUGUGUGUGUGUGUGUGUGCACGCAUGUGCACGUGUCUUGCUUUUUCCUAGAGGGUGGGGUCACGGGGAGGGAAGUCAGUGAGAAAAACAAGUGAGAAAACAACAAAACAAGUUAAGAGACAAUGAAGGAAGCAACAGUGGCACCUGCUUCCCCGGCGAGGAGGGCGGAGCUUCCUCCUCAGGGGCCACUAAUGACGCCACUGAUCAUUUCGAUCUCCGGGUGCUUUCAGUCGGGCCGGCAUGCGCCGUGUCACCUUUAUCUCUCCUUCUAACCCUCCACAAACACGCUCCCCUACCAAGCACACAUUCACACCUUUUUCUGUUUUUUUUUUUCCGGUUGGGUUCAGUUAUGUGGCCAGAUGUCCAAGUUGACAUAGCGCUCAAGGCGUUUGACUGGAUGAAACAGUGCAUUGGCUGCGGGUAAAGAGGGAUUAAAACAGGCCCUGAGGCACUUGUGUUAUAUUGAAAACAUCCUGGGCUGCUUUGUAUAGAGAUUUGCAUACAUCGGGGUCUGUGCGGCGACGGCCCAUCUGCUGGAGAGCAUUGUCCCCAAACAACAAAGUGCGUUUAAAUAUUUCACAUCUCCAUCUACUGGGACAGAACUACGUGGAAACGAGCAGGGAGGGGAAAAGGAAAACGAGAGAUGGAAGGGGGUGAAAAUAAAAAGAAGAAGAAAGAAAUAACAAACAAAACCCAAAAAAGAAGGAGUAGAUUGGCACAGCUUUGAAUUUGAACUGCUCCCAAAUGUGCCUCAGUCAGAGCCACAGUAAAUAACACCAUCGCCGGCCAGGAUCCGGGAAAAAUGAGGAGAAUCUAAAUAUAAUAUGUUGUAAACCUGAAUUCUGGUGGAGAACAUGGUCGUCUGAAUGCAGAAAGGAGGAUGUUUUCGCCUGUAAAACGGUGCUGGAGAUUUAAUAUAAAAUGUGUUUUUCAUGCAAUUGAACAAACUUUAUAUUUGACUGUUUUGAAGCUUUCCGUAUCCUGCACCUGAUAUCAAAAGAUUUAUUUUAUCAUGCCUGCAGUGUGAAAAGAACUGUCGAAUGCGCUGAUGUCGAUAGAAAAAAUAUAUAUGGAGACAGUUUGUCCGGUAUUAAGUAAUCAUCCCUUUGGCCCAAACCCUCUUUAUUGUAUUAAUGCCAUAACUCUGGCUUCCUGUGACGUUUAAUAGCACUGUAAAAUUAGAUAAUUACUGUAAUAUAUCUGUGUACUCGUGUCCGUGUCCGAGGUCAGACACAUAAAAAUUAAUAAGGAACAAGAGGGAGAUUAAAUAAGUGUGUGUGUGUGUGCCAAAGAGGAAGAAGUUAGCUUUUAUUAAUGCAAAGAAAACCCCGUCUGGAACCACGGCGUGUUCAUGCAUCCUCUCCACAUUUCUCUGCUCUCCAACCAGAACACACAUGAGAGGAGGAACACGCUCGGGGCAGCGCGCGCUGGAUGCAACAGUACGGUGAUUUAACGACGGGACGGUUUGUGUGUAGGCUGGACAGCCUGGUGCAGCCUCCGUCUUCACAACCCUGAACACACAUAAACCCCGUGCUCACACGCACACACACACACUGACACCAAAUAUCUGAAGAAAAAAAAAAAAAAAACAGCCAAGAUGGACGUGAGGAACAUGUUGCCUGCACGGGGGAGGAUUUUUGGAAAGAAGAGCAUGGUCAAUCUGUUUGUUUCUCUGCCACAUCCAAGGAGAGUGAUAAUUUCAUUUUCUUUCAUCAUUUUCUCCUGAUUAUUGUACUCCUGUGUCAGAUUUUGAAAGCUGCUGAGGUUUAUGUUUAAGAGAAAAGAGCAAAUCAGACAAUGAUUUUUAUUUAUUUUUGCUGCAAAAUGUCGUUGGUCCUUUGGCUCCGGUUUCCCACGCGGCGAGACGCCGAGUCGGGGAAUCCAGACGCCACCUGAACCCUCAUACACCUCGCCACAUGCCGCCGGAUCGAGCGCUCGUAAGCCAGUCCGUCCGUGCUAACCCUUCAGUAGCAGAAGGUCACGCUGGAGAGCCUGUGAAAAGUAUAACAGACACACAUUAACCCCCAUUUAAUCAGGAUUACAGAGAACAACCAAGCAUUAUUUAACACACACACACACGCACACACACAGAGCAUGACAGCAGUAGGGAAAUAUGGGACAACACACACACACACACACAGACACAAAUCCAGCACAAUCAAUCUAAUGGUGUGCAUUAGUUAACUGCCAAAUGUUGGGCUUUUUAUGGCAGGAUCACUCGUCCCUUGAAAAGAUAAAUACGGUGCACAGAUCCCAGUAAUUACAGCAAUCCCCUUACAGCGCACACAGAUCGGCCUCUCAGCAGCGCCGCCGUCCUGUAGAUUAAGUCAUUUGGGAGAGUUGUAGGGCAGCGGGGUGACUGACAGAAGUGGAGCCGGAUGGAGGGGGGGGGGGGGGGGGACAAAAAGGACAGACAUAAUAGUGUUUUGUCUUUUCAGUGUUUUGGGCGGGGGGAGGGCUGGUACGAAAGAAAACGCCGAAAAAACACAUUCAUAUGUGAUCGGGAAACAUGAAAGAGUGACGUGUCUGAGGAUCAUCGCCCUGCAACUGAUGAGUGAAGGAAACGGAUCUACAGUCCACAUAUGACGUAAAAUAACCUCUGAUUUGGUCAUUUUAAAAGAAUGUGCAAGGAAAUGGUUAAUAAUAUGUGAUGGGAACGGUAUUUCCAUCCGGAGAGACUUGUUGAAAUUUGAACAAUGCUUUAUUAUAACAGGUAUAAUAUGAUAUUGCAAGUUGUUUGGGGCUUGGAGUCCAUCCUGCCGCAGGAUAGACCCGGGGCCGGGAUCUCGAGCCGAGACGAGGCAUUUCCCCCAAACCAGGUUUAUUUGAUGGAAUAAAAUAAAUACUUACGGCCACUGCGGGUCCUGAUCCGGAGCUGGUGUCACAAGGGGACAUAUAGUAAGUCACGUAGAGCCAAGAAACCAAGGCAAAGGUUAACAGGACAAUGAGAGAGGAAAGAGAGGGUCUGCUAGACCAAAGGACAGGAUAGGUUGGGGGUCGAGGUUGACCGCAGACAAGGACAGGUUGUGGUCAUGUAAGUCCGCAGACCAGAUAGGGGUGGUCACGGCAGACCGCAGAACAGGACAGUUAGGGUCAGAGAGGGACCGCAGAAUAGACUUAGUUGCGGAGGGCCCCUCACAGAACAACCUGACCGGGUUUGCUCAGACCGGGAAACAGAUGGUCACUUGGGUGUCCCUGACUGGUCGGGUUUAGCCGUGCUGAACGGACCACCGUCGCUUGACGGGUCAGCUCAGGCCGGCACUUGCAAUAACUAGAGUGACCGGUCGGAAAGGUAGUCAGCUUGACUGGCCCCGUGAGACCGCGAAGCAGAAGGUAGUCAGCUUGACUGGUCCCGUGAGACCGCGAAACAGAGUGUUGUCAGCUUGACUGGUCCAUCCGGACAUCUUUUGGGGAAUGGAUGUGGUCUCGUUAGACUAGGAAACAGACACAUUAAGCCAGGUAACGUCAAACCUAGGAAACACAGACACGUUGAGCCGGGUCACGUUCACCUAGAAGAUCAGAUUUAAGGGAGACUGUAAGGAACAAUGGUGGUCCCCUGCAAGGGGACACUGACGUGACUUUCCAACAUUGCCAGAAGGGAAAACACCACCACCAGCACCAGUUACAUGCAUGCUCAACAACUUAUGGCUUCACAGGUCUUUGCUUGCGAGUGCUUUGCUUUGCUUGCUAUGGUCAGGGUGGAAGUGGAACGUCACAGCAGACGGCGACCACCGACCUAUCAGCUGCCGGCUUGUCACGGGAAUGCCUUGGUUAGCUGCUGCAGCUCUAGUAGUUAUUCUAGGUUGAGAAUAAUGGGGAGGUGGAUCCUGAGAUGUUGUGGUAUAGAUUCAAAACCAGCACGGCGGCAAUCAGUGCGAGCCACCCGCCAGCGAGGGCCUCCAUAUUGGGAGUGUGUAGGACCGCCUCAAUUAGAGACCAGAAUUGCAGAGACAGUUAACAACCUGCCACGGUGAUGUGAAGCUAGGGUGAGUGUUCAGAGAACUCAGGAAGGUAACAUCGAACUCGACAGCUGGCGCUCAACCUGCGAAGAUAGGGCAGUUAACAUGCAGAACAGCAGCAAAGCAGAUAGCGGCUGUCGUAGCCAAGUAGAUCACCACUCUGUUCAUGACCCCAGUUUUAAGAAACAUACCGACUCUUGCUUCCCAACAUCCAUGAGGCGUGACUGAAGUCCGCUAACAGGUAGCGUUAGGCUAGAAAACGCGGUGUUAGCUUGACUGGUCCGGUUAGCCCGCAACUCUCUAUGAAGUCAGCUGGACUGGUCACCACAAACCUAACUUGAUCCCAGGUUGGCAGGUCAACUGACGGACCUCCUUCUUCAGAACUGCAAACGGGUCAGGUGAGACCAGAUCAUUUAUUAUUACAGAGUCUAUCACUGCCAUGCAAGGACGUUUAGUGCCACGAGCGAAGAUCCCCUUGAAUAAACGGUGCGGACUACUUAGGGCUGAAACAAACAUGCAUGAAUGAUAUCUGGUACCACGGGCCACCGGGCAAACGAAAUGCCGAUAUACAAGAAGCUAUGUGAAUGAUGACAUCAAUAAAUGCAUGACUUACCGACCUUUUAAGGCUUUCCUAAAUCAAACUCAUCAUCCUUGAAGUUGCUGAAUGUGGGGGUUGCAGCAGCCCAACUUCCCAUUGGUGGCAGGGAUGAAUAGGAGAUACCUUGGUUUAGGUUGCAGUAGCUGCCCCUAAAUAAUUCCCUGAGUACUGUUGGGGCUAACUUCCUUAAGUGGUACAGCCAGUAAGGCAAAGCCUUUUACCCGUCGUUGACGCAUAUAAGUUACCAGGCAUGUUAACGACCCCGCUGGAUUGUCACACCAAAUGGAAUCAACUGAAAAAGGGGAGCCAUGGUCUGGCCUGCCGUGGCUUGAUG